rnacentral:lncRNA from 1 species
UGAAAAGGAAUCAGCUAUACUUCAUGAAAGAAAGGAAAAUGUGCUUUUCCCCAACUGCUCCACAUCGCUUUGGUUCAGGAUGAAGCAGAGCAACCAGUCAUUUUGUCCUCUAGCAUGCAGUAUUUAAGUGUAAUAUGUGAUCCAUAUAAACAUAAAGAAGUAGAUGUUCAUGCUUCUUUUAGGGCUCCUCUCUCCAACUUCCACUGGAUUGGCUGAGCUGGCCACUGUCCAGCUUGACUCCUUCAAAUGGUUGCAGGAAGAUGACAGCUGAGGCCAGGGUCAUGAGAAAGCUUCUCUACCCACAUGUCCGGCUGCUGGGCUGGGAGAGUUAGAACAGCUGGGCCAAGCAGGAACCAUCUCUUUCUUCUGUCCACGUAGCCAAGUCGCCUGGCCUCCACAUGCCAGCAGCACACUUGCAAAUCUGCUACUGUAUGUGGUUCUGACUCUGUAAUUACCAAUUCAACAAGCAUGAAACCUUUGAAUGCUGAAUUGCCUUUCCCUUACUUAAUUUUCAUUUCUUGUAAUUUUCUCUUUUCGUUCAGUUUUGAGAAGUAUUCUUAUAACUUUCUUAAUAUACUCUUUCUUUGAAUUGACAUUUAUAAAAAAGAUUAUCACACAAGCUGUUAUUUUAUUUGACAAAGCAAAUAAUUUCUACAUUUUACAAUGUUUUAGAAACUUUGACUUUGCUGUACACAGAGACAGAAUGGACUGAUGCUUUGAGAUUUUUCCAUGACUAGAAAGAGGGCAAGAAGAUGGCUGUGGAAACUGACUUCCGCCUACCUCAAUCCUGGCCUUGCUACUUAUGAACUGUACAGAUUCAUGGGGAGCCUUUCUGUGCCUCUAAUUCCUCAAUAGCAAAAGGGGGCUUAGAAUAAGAGAAACUACCUGUUGUCUUUGUGAGGGUUAAAUGAGCUUGUCCAUGAAGACUGGCAGAAUAGUCCCUACUACCUGAUAAUUGAGCAAUAGAAGUUAACUGUUAUUAUUGCUGGACCGUUUAUUUACAUCUAAUAGUCUUCAUAUUUUUUGCUAAUUGUACUGUUUUCUUAAUGAUGUUACUGAAUGCCUGUUGAUACAAUCAUAUUUUGAGAACUGUGUAGGCAGGUAGCUUUCAUUAACAAGCUUGGG